rnacentral:lncRNA from 1 species
AUUUAAUCUACUUAUAUAUGGAUACAACUAAAAUCCAGAGGCAAUAACUGUGAUCUCGUUUUUUUGGGGUCUAAUCUUGGUUUCUUGCUCACGUAUCAUGUCGCUACCAGCGAAAAGAAUAUAUGUGAGUUAUUAUUAAUACCGUUAAUCUGCUCUCUCUCUCUCUCUCUUACUUUUCUCUUUCUGGCGAACUUGUAAACCCAACCAGUAAUUUCCGGCGGAACUCUGGCGCAGGUAAGGAUCUCUCUUCUCUCUCUCCCCUCUCCCCUCUCUCCUCUCUCCUAUUCUUCGCAGUUCCCUUCCCUUCUCUCUGCUACACUGCCGCUUCUUUCUUUUCUUGAACGCACAGCGGGUGUCCUCUCUUUCCCCAACUUCAUUCCCUCCCCUCUCAUUAUGCGUGUGUGUGUGUGUGGUGUGUUUGUGAACACGUUUUCCGAUCAGAUUUCCAGCGCUGACUACGAGCGUCGGCCGUCAGGCAGGUUUUCGGUGAGCAGUUAGACGCUGCAGUUGGAGGUCAGAUUUCCGGCGGAUAUCUUGGCUCAAGGCGACAUUCUACCAGGGUCUAGUCGAUUUGGCAGUCCGUCUACAAUCCAGGUUUCGUCGCUCUUGUUUACUUUUAUCGGGAGUUGGCACCUCUUAUUCUUCAAUUAGUAUUUCUAUUUUCCUUGUUGUUAACCAAUUAGUUUGGGAUAGAUUAAGCCUAAUUCUUGAUUGCCUACUUGUACUCUUAAUUAGUGCAUUUGCCUGUCUACUUUCUUGAUAGUAACUGUUUUGGGAUUUCUAGUUUGUAAUUUUGAUUCCUAUUUUCUUUGCGGCUGGCUUUUUUAUAUAUCUAUUUUUAUCGCUAGUUUAAUUCUUGCUUGUUUGUUUUCUUAUCUGUACGCAUAAUUAGUGGUUAGAGCUUAAGUAUUAGACUUGCCUCUUUUAGUUUAAUCCUUUGCCUGUUUGAGCGCCAGUUCUAGCAUAAUUUUCCUUAGAUUAUAGUGGCUGGAGUGAGUGAUGGUAGAAUAAAGUCAUGUCCUCGGGUGGGGUGCGGGUGGCGAGGGGCGGGGGAAGGUGGCAAGGGAACCUCUAAACUGAGAGUUGGGUCCUGGAACGUAGGUACUCUGACGGGGAAGUCAAUAAAGUUAGCGAAGAUCCUCCAGACGAGGAAGAUCAAUAUAGCUUGUGUCCAGGAGACUAGAUGGAUGGGUUAUAAGGCUCGAGAUGCUAAUGGGUAUAAAUUGUGGUACUUAGGGCGCGUGAGGGGUAAAAAUGGGGUAGGCAUCUUGGUUGACAUGGAUCUUAGGGAGCUAGUGGCAGAAGUUAGGAGAGUGAACGAUAGGCUGAUGGCUAUUAAGCUGGUUGUGGGAGGGUCUACUUUAAACGUGAUUAGUGCUUACGCGCCUCAAGGGGGUUUGGACGAGGAGAUUAAGAGGCAUUCCUGGGAAGACCUUGACGGGUUGGUCUGUGGCAUUCCGCACACCGAGAAGUUAUUCAUAGGAGGAGAUUUCAAUUGUCACAUUGGGGCGACCUCUAGGGGUUAUGACGAUGUACAUGGCGGCUUUGGUUUUGGAGUUAGGAACGGAGGUGGUACUUCGUUGUUGGACUGUGCUAAAGCCUUAGAUUUGGUGAUUGCUUACUCGUGUUUUCCAAAGAAGGAAGAGCACUUGGUCACCUUCAAGAAUUCAUUAGCCAAGACUCAAAUUGAUUAUCUACUCCUCCGGAAGGGUGAUAAGGGUCUUUGCAUGGAUUGCAAGGUUAUACCGAGCGAGAACCUCACGACUCAGCAUAGGUUAUUGGUGAUGGACUUAGAGAUCGUGAGGAAGAAGAAGAAGCGGUCUGGUAUGGUCAGCCUAGGAUGAGGUGGGGUGCCUUGACUAAUGACAAAGCCUAGGAGUUGGGGGAGGGGGGGAGGGGAGGAAGUUAUUGGCUAUGGGAGCCUGGAAGAGCAGUGGGGAUGCGAGUUGUAUGUGGACCACGACAGCGAAAUGUAUUAGAGUAGCUGCGAGAGAGGUGUUAGGGGUCUCGAACUGUUUCUCUGGCGGCCGCAAAGGUGACUGGUGGUGGAGUGAAGGGGUACAAGAGAAAGUGGAGGCCAAGAAAGCAGCGUACUUGAAGUUUAUAGAGAGCAUGGACGAGGAGGCGAAGAGGACGAACAGGGAGGGUUAUAAGAAGACUAAGAAAGAGGCGAAGUUAGCGGUUACUGCGGCUAAGACUGCGGCGUAUGGGCGUUUGUAUGAGGAGUUUGGGGCCAAAGGCGGGGACAAGAAGUUAUACAGGCUAGCCAAGGUGAGGGAGAGGAAGGCCCGUGAUCUAGAUCAAGUGAAGUGCAUCAAAGAUGAGGAAGGUAGAGUUUUGAUCGAAGAGGCUCAGAUUAGGCGAAGGUGGCAGACAUACUUCCAUAAACUCCUAAAUGAAGAGGGUGAUAGGAACAUUGUGCUGGGCGAUUUGGAGCACUCCGAGAUUCGCCGGGAUUUCGGGUAUUGUAGGCGCAUAAGAGUAGAGGAGGUUGAGGGGGUUAUGCGCAAGAUACACAGGGGUAGAGCAACCGGGCCAGACGAAUUCCCUGUGGAAUUUUGGAAGAAUGCAGGUAGGGCAGGUUUGGAGUGGCUCACUAGGUUGUUCAACGUCAUUUUUAGGACGAAGAAGGUGCCCGAAGAAUGGAGGUAGAGUACGAUGAUUUCGGUGUAUAAGAACAAGGGUGACAUCUAAAGUUGCAAUAAUUAUAGGGGGAUUAAGCUGCUGAGUCAUACGAUAAAAGUUUGGGAGAUGGUGGUUGAAGCGAGGGUGAGGAGCAAUGUGUCCAUUUCUGAGAACCGGUUCGGUUUCAUGCGGGGACGUUCGACUAUGGAAGCCAUUCACCUUGUGAGGAGAUUGGUGGAGCGGUAUAGGGAGAUGAAAAAGAAUUUGCAUAUGGUGUUCAUUGACCUAAAAAAAGCUUAUGACAAAGUCUCAAGAGAGGUGCGCUUUGGAGAUGUUUGGAGGCUAAAGGGGUCCCAGUAGCCUAUAUUAGGGUGAUUAAGGACAUGUAUGAUGGAGCCAAAACUCGGGUUAGGACAGCGGAAGGAGACUCAAAACACUUUCCGGUUGUGAUGGGGUUGCACCAGGGAUCAACUCUUAGCCCAUUUCUAUUUUCCUUGGCAAUGGAUGCAUUGACGCGACACAUUCAAGGAGAGGUGCCAUGGUGUAUGUUAUUUGUUGAUGACAUUGUUCUUAUUGACAAGACGCGGGGUGGUGUUAACGAGAGGCUGAAGGUCUAGAGGCAGACCCUUGAGUCUAAGGGCUUCAAGUUAAGCAGGACCAAGACGGAAUACUUGGAGUGUAAGUUCAACAACGUUAUCCAGGAAGCUGAUAUGGAGGUGAGGCUUGAUAUACAAGUCAUCACCAAGAGAGAUAGUUUCAAGUAUCUUGGAUCUAUAAUACAAGGUAACAGGGAGAUUGAUAAGGAUGUCACGCACCGUAUCGGAGCAGGAUGGAUGAAGUGGAAGCUCGCUUCCGAUGUCUUGUGUGAUAAGAAUGUGCCGCUGAGACUUAAAGGCAAGUUCUACAAGGUUGUAGUUAAACCGACUAUGCUGUAUGGAGCAGAGUGUUGGCCUGUUAAAAAUCCUCAUAUCCAGAAGAUAAAAGUAGCUGAGAUGAGGAUGUUAAGGUGGAUGUGUGGGCAUACCAGGUUGGAUAAGAUUAGGAAUGAAGUUAUUCGGGAUAAGGUGGGAGUAGCCCCUGUGGAGAAUAAGAUGCGGGAAGCGAGGUUGAGAUGGUUCGGGCAUGUUAAGAAGAGAAGUAUAGAAGCCCCGGUCAGAAGGUGCGAGAGGUUAGCCUCAAUAGGUAUUAUGAGGGGUAGAGGAAGGCCUAAUAAGUCUUGGGGAGAGGUUAUUAGGCGGGAUAUGACGCAGCUGGAGCUGACUGAGGACAUGGCCCUAGAUAGGAGGGUGUGGAGGUCGAAGAUUAGGGUAGAAGGCUAGUAGGUAGUCGAGCGUUUCUCUUUGUUUUACUCAGUUCGCUAGCAUUAGUGUUAGUAUGAUAUCCUUCUACUCAUUGGCUUUUACUACCUAUAGUUUAACUGCUUUCUUGACUUCGGUAUUUUUUAUUUUGUUGUUAUUCCUACUUGUUGCCACCUUUUUCCCUUAUCUUCUUCCAUCCGUUCUCUAGCCGACGGUCUAUCAGAAACAACCUCUCUGCCCUUCCAGGGUAGGGGUAAGGCUGCGUACAUCUUACCCUCCCCAAACCCCACUUGUGAAAAAUUACUAGGCUUAUUGUUGUUGUUAUAUAUGGAUACAACUCCUCAAUUUUAAAACCAAACACUUAAGGGCCCGUUUGGACAUACAAUUUGGUUGAAGAUUUUUCCAAAAAAAUUUCACUUUUUUUCGAAAUCAGCGUUUGUUCAUAAAAUUUUAAAUUUUCACUUAAGAUGUAUUUUGGAAAUUUUCGAAAAUUUGAAAAACCGCAAAAAGCUAUUUUUCAAAAUUUUCACUCACAAAACUUCAAAAACAACCCAAACUUAAAUUUAUGUCCAAACACAACUCAAAAUUUCAAAUACCAUUUUCACUUGAAAAUAUUUUUCACCAUUUUUUCGAAUUUUACAAUUCUUAUGUCCAAACGCCUACUAAGUCCUUACAUAAUAGAAAUCAUAUGCCCCAUAUAUUUGUGUAAUAUUUCCAUUAUACUUGGGGUUAAGUACUUAUUUGAAAUGCAGGAGUGUGCCCACAUAUACAUCGGAUAACAGAUAGAUGAAUGUCAAGAAUAAUUUACUUUAAUAAACAUAAUUCUCAUGUUAGCAAAAUAUUCUCAAAAAACAAUUCUCAUAUUAGCUAAAUCAAAAAGAAAAUGCAAGAUAAUUAUAAUAGGCAAAAAGACGUAUUCCACAUACUACAUCCAAAUAUCAAAUAACUGCAAUAUAAUUAGCAGCAUAAUUAUCACAUUACAUGCAUGGCUGAAAAAUAGCACAAUACUGAAAUGUGAUAGAAAGAAAUAAAAUCAGAAUAGCAAUUUCAGAAAAUUGAAUAAAAAGAUUCGUUAUACAGAACCAGAAUGAGAAAAAAAAGGAAGAAGAAUGGUGUGGACGAGAAUUACCUCCACCAAUUUGGAGCACGUCUCAGUCGCCGCAGCAGUAGGAGGCAGGCAAGCAGCUUCUUCGUCCCUCCCAAAAUGCGUCAGGGUUGGGAUAGUUUUUUCGAUUUUUUUUUUUUUUAUCGGAUGUCCCCGAAGGAACAAAUUUCGAUUUUUUAUUAACUUUCUUUUUUCAAACACGCAGAAAACAUUUCCUUUUGAGUUAUAGCUUUGUUUUGCUUUUUAUGUUUGUUAUAUUCUUUUGUUUGAAUUAUUCCCUAGCAAGUUCAAUUUUUUUUUUUUAGCAAAUAUACCACUAAGUUGUGUGCUUAGUGGUAUUUUUUAUUAAUAAUAAUCAAAACAAAAAUAACAAAAUACAAAGUGUCAGGAGGUCUCACAAAGUGUAAAUGAGUGAAAUAUGAAAGUACAUCAAUCCUAUUAUCAAAGUUGAGGAGUCACGCCUGGACUCCUCAACUUUGAUAGUACAAAAAGAACUAUGAAGCAUAUUCCUUAGAGGAGUCACGCCUGGACUUGAACAUGUAUAACCAUUGCUUUCCAAGCUUUUAUAGCAUAUUUUGUAACUCUACACUUCUGAUUCUGGGCAUAAACCUUUGGAAUCCUGAGUAUAUGGUAGGUCCAGAUGAUACCUAAAACAGUACUCCACUCUUGACAAAGCCAAUUUUGUAACUAAAUUACACGCAAUUAAGUACAUCGUUACUGUCCAAGUCAAGGCAUUGGUGAUGUAGUUGUGACUUUGCCUUAGGGUUUUGCACUUGUAUCUGUCCUCUCUCAUUACAUACCUGCCAAAACUAUCAUCCUCAUGUGUGAAGAUGAAUAAUAUACCUGGCAUUUCCUCCGAAUGAUGCUCAACUGGCCCGUAACAUGUUGGGAACUCCCAUGGUUUAAAGUGUCCAGCCUUGACAUUAGCACAGUAAUACGCGUGUCCACAGCCCUUGUGUUGUCAUGUGGCCUGCCAGUAUUACCUUGUAUGACCUCUAGGAAGCAGCAGAUGUAAUGGAAGGUGCAUCUUCUAGUAUAGUACUUCCCAUCUUCACCAAACUGUAAUUCUAUAAUGCUUCAGUUUGGUUGGCUCAUGUACAACCUUCACCCUGUCUUGUUAAGUAAGUAUUUGGGCUGGUUUAUGUAGUGCCUACACCUACAGGGAAUGAGUAUCAAAGAUACUAAUACCAACCUAAUAGGCUUGGCCAACACAUAGAACCAAGCACCAUCUAAAGUACCUGCAAAACAAGAAACUAUGUUAGUGGAAAAAUUUUCCUACUCUCCUCACAAUAGAUUCGAGUAGAAAGAGCAGUGAGAUAUCCUUCCCCUAAGACCUUCCCAUAACCUCCAGUAUACAUCCUCAUCAACCUCCUUACUACCCAGAAACUCCCUAUCGACUUCAGUUCGUUGGAAUGCAUCAUCAUUUGGAGUUUGGCUUGCCAGUUCUUACCCUAAUAUAGGGUAUCUGUAGCUUGUCAUUGUUCAAUAUCUUCCUCCUUUGUAUGUCUAGUUCCUCAAACGAAUGUACUUGUACCAAUGCAUGUUGUUCGAGUGUCAAGUUAGCUAAAUGAUCUGCUAACUUGUUGCCCUCCCUCAGUACAUGAAUUACUUGAAGCACUCCUCUAGACAAUAGUGUUUUAAUUUCCUCUACUUAUUGGCUAUGCUACAGGGUGGUUCCCAGACUUCCUCCAGUAUUCUCUUCAUCAGCAAGGAAUCUGUUUCAAUUUGACAUGGAGGGAACUGCUAUUGAGUUAUGUAUCUGAGAGCUUCAAGGAUAACUUGUGCUUCAGCUAUGGAGUUUAUUGCAUCAACAAUUGAGUCUGCCUGAGCAUAUAUAAGGUUACCUAUUACAUCUCUUAUGCAGAAUGCAUACGAAGCUCCUCUAUUGUCUCCUUUGCAAGCACCAUCAAUAUUGCAUUUGAUCCAGCCCACAUGAGGUAAAUGCAAUAACACCUUAGUAUACUUUAGUUUAGGGACAUGAUGCAGUAACUUCUCAUGAAGAUCUGGCCAAUUUGCAGUAACUCCCUUGAAGUUUGACCUCCUUACCUUUAAGAGUAUUUGUAUUGAGGUUGAAAUCAGAAAGAUCAGCAUGUUAAUAGACACAUUCUUCCCAUGCAUUCCUGAAUUUCUCCUCUUUCAUAGGUGCCACACAAUUAGACUUGGCAUAGCAUGAUACACUACCUUCAAACUUGUGUUAACUGGCCUACUCCACCAUUCAUUUAUGACUUGUGCUAACUGUUUCCCUGCUUUUUUAAUCCCUGCAGGUGCACCAAAGUAGUCCCAAACAUAUCUGGCAACUGGAGACUUCAAAAAGACAUGAGGCAGUGUUUUCUUCUUAGGAUUUCUACAGUACCAACACCUUGAAGUUCUAAAGUAUCCCAUCCUUAAGAACCAGUCAUCUAGUGGCAACUUUGUUUUCCUUAACCUCCACAUAAAGAAACUAACUUUGAAUGGUAAGCCUUUUACCCAAACGAAUUUGUAUAGCCUGUUUUCUUCCCUUCUUCUCCUUGUGUAUUGCCAUACAAAUUUCAUUGUGAAGUGGCCUUUUGAUUCCAGUUCCACCAUGGUUUGUCCUUCACAAGAUAGUCUGCAAGUGAUGUGAUGUUCUCCAGUAUAUGGUCAGCUAUAUCAUCAGGCAACAACUCCCCCAACAACACAUCAUUCCAUGCUCCAUUCUUCACCACUUCAUCAACGUACCUUAUGGAUUCAUCAGACCAAUGGUCUGCCCCUGAAGCAUGGUAAAGAGCUUCAAGUCCAGUCCAAUUGUCAUACCAGAAGAAAGAGUUUCCACUCUUAAAUUGCCACCACACCUUUGGUUGGAAUUCUUUUUUCUGUGAAUUGAUCUUGAAAAAAGUCCACUGCCUCCCUAGCUAUUUCACCUGUGUUUCAAUCCAAUUGCCAUUGUUAUAAAAUAUUCUGGAUACCUGCAACCUUUUCCUUUUGCCUUUGACAUGAGCAUGAAAGAAUUUUGUAUUUCUAUCCCCAUCCUUGAACCACUGCAUACCAGCCUUUUGCCUCCAAAUUUCUUCUUCUAAGUGAUAGAACCUUGUAAGAUCAGCCUCAACCUUAUGCAGCUUAGCUUUAUUUUGAGUUGUUGGAUUUAGUUCAAACUCCACCUCAUAUACCUUAAUGGUAUCUUUUAGUGUUGUAAUUUGUUUAAAUAUGUCUCCAAAAGUCUCCUUGCUCCAACCUGCUAGUGCUUUCUUUACAUUUUUUAGCUUGUUUUAAAACAUAAUACAUGGAUUCCCCACACUAUCAGUUGACAAAUUCUCCUUCACCACAUUCAGGAAAGUAUCAUGCUUUCUCCAAAAAUUUAGAAACUUGAAAGGUUUCUUAACCUAGACAGUGUCAAUGUUACAAGAUAACAAGAUAGGGACAUGAUCGGAACCAUAUUUAAUCAAAUGCUCAACUUCGGUACUGGGAAAAGAUCCUGAAAUUGUUGAUUAGCCAAUAAUUUGUCAAGCCUCUUGAAAAUGCAAUCAUCAUCAGACCUCUCAUUCCAUGUAUAUAGACUCCUUUUGAAGCCCAAAUCAUACAAUGCACAUGUAUCAACACAUUGUGCAAAGUCUUCUACUUCACUUAGGUAUACUAGACGUCCACCAUACUUCUCUUUUUCAGAUAAGAUAACAUUAAAAUCACCCCUACAAGCCAUGGUGAUUCCAUAUCUGAGGCUAAAUAGUACAUAGAUGCCCACAAUUCAAUCCUCUCUAUGGCAUCACAUUUAGCAUACACUAGUGUAAUAAUGAUCUCCAUACUCAAAUUUCUAUGAAACAACCUUAAAGUCAUUUAUUGCUCCAUAUCCAUCAUAAUGUCAACGUCUAUUUCCUCAUCUACAAAAGCCCAUAUCUUACCAUUCAUAUUUGCAAAGGCAUAAUGGAUCUUAGCCUUCUUCUAUACUUCUCCAGCUUAUUGGUAUCUUGCCAAGGCUCCAUCAAACCAAUGAGAUAAAAAUUGUACUUCAUAUGUAGAUUAAUUAAUUUUUGGAAAGCUUUUUGUGUGUUCACAAACCUCACAUUCCAUACUAAUGCAUUAUCUAUAAGAUCACUUGGAAGUUGAGAGCCCACUCCUCUUUGGUUGUACCCUCAUAGGGACAAUCUUCUCUUCGUGUUUCUUUGAUUGUUUCCCAGUAGAUUUCUUUUUAUCAACACUCCUAGGUGACAUGUCGCCAGCCCUAACUGCUUAUUGAAAGUUGGCAGCAGUAAAUUCUUCCUCAAUAUCCUCGCCUAUUUCCUCUUGCUCACCUUUAUCAUUGUCAACCACAUGGAGAACCAUAAGAUUUGGCUCAUGUCUCUUAGCUAUCAUUCCCAACUCCUUUUGGCCCCUGUGAUUGAUAAGCAUACCUUUUGCCAAUAUGCCACUAGUAACACUAAAUAUUUUUCAAGCUAGAAUCCCAGGAUAAUCUACUGCCAACCCUGUAGUUUGGAUUGCCUUGUUGUUUGUGUUUGACUGCCCAGCUUCAGAAUCACAAGCUAUUAUUGCUAGGUCAAUUUGAUCAUGUGAUUGACUUGUAGCCUCCUUCAAUACUAAUGCAUUCUUCUCCAUAGUCCCCAAUGCCUCCUGCAUCACCCUAAAUUGAAGAUCAUAGACUGAUCCUAAUGUAGGGUUUACUGUAGCACUUGUUGCAAACACUGUUCCAUUGGUUUCCAUCUCCUUUCCUUCAGCUAUGUGAUGAUCUGACUUCACUGUAUCCUCUAAUACCUUAGUACUAGCCUUCUCAACAUGAUCACCACUCAAAAUUUCCAGCGGAGCACCUCCAGCAUCAUUUACAACCUAUGCAACCUACCUAGGAAUUACUAUUACAUUAGAUUUCUUCUUAAAUGAAGCUCCACCUGUUGAUUCUCCAGCAGUCUUAGCUUGUUUAUGAUAUCUUUGAGUCUCUUUAGCUGAUGGUGUACCAUGUUUCUUAUUCAAUUCUUUAGAAUCUUCAACCCUAGAUUUCUGGGUACUAGGUUUUAAUGUAGCAGGAGUAAUUAGGUCAACUGUUUUUCCCCGCACUCUUCCAGUUUGCACAUACAGUCUUGUACUGUUUUCUUCAUUGUUUUCCUCCCUAUUCUCAACUUCAUCACUCCAUAAUUGAUAUCCAGAUGUUGCUUCAUAGUCAGCUGCAUUCAGUUUGGUGGAUUCUUCUAACGUUUGUGAGGGAAUUUCAUGGCAUGAAUGAUUAAUUGUCACAUUGAGUUGCCUCAAUUAUUCUUUGUUUGUACCAAACCUUCUAUGUACCUAUUCAAUGGUCGACUCUUUUUUGUUAGCUUCCUCAAUCCCAGAAAUAGUAGGAUUAGGAUUCUUUUCUUUGGUCGCACUUGUGCUCCCACCCUUCUUUGGACUAGAAGUCCCAGUAGCACUAGGAUUUGACUUGUUUCCCUUGUUUGGAUCAGCUUCAUCAUUGUUCAGUACCUUCUGCACUGCCUCCUUCUUUAUCUAUAUUGCUUCCUCAAUUUCUCCUUCCUCCAAUAAUGCAAAUUUGUUCUUUGUUUGAAUUGGAUCCUUGGUUUUCUGCUCCAUAUUCUUAGUCUCCUUUACAGUAACCUCUUUUCUCUUCUUCUCCUCUUCCUUCCCAGCAUGAUCCUUCUUUGGCCUACUGUCCUUGACCUCCAUCCACCUACCAUUAGGAUAACCAACUAUUUUUCCACUCGUUAGCAUUCUAAUUGUUGGCUUAAUAUUAUUUAGUUGCACCUGAUUCUUAUCAGUAGCAUCACUUUGAACUUGUGCCUCUGAUUGAGUUUCCACAGCUAGUAUAAGAUUUGGAUAUAGUCUUCUACAUUCCUCUUCAUUGUGACCUUGAAGCCUGCAUUCCUUACAAUAUUUGGGAAUAUAGUCACAUUGCACCUUCACCCAUUCAGUUCUAAUCGUCCAGUUGUCUCAUUCUCAAUGUCCAUCUUUACCUUUUUAGGCAAUUUAGAUAGUAAGUCUACUUGUAUUUUGACUCUAGCACAACUAGGUCUAGUUUUGUUGAUCGUGGCCAUAUCAAGAUGCAAUAUUUUACCAACUGCUGAGGCUAAUGAGAAUAAAUACUCCUUUACAAAGUAAGUUGGUAAUAAAUUAGGGAACGAAAUCCAAGCCAUUGCUAUAGGUGUUUCCUCACCAACUUUGAAUUUAGCAUCAUAGAUUAAAGGCCUCAUCUGAUAUGGGUAAGCUCUCUUUGAUGUAAGCAUGAUCAACACAUGCCUAUCUCUAAGAAAACCAACAUUGCACUCACAUUUUAUCCCAUAUUGAUUAGGUAUCAACUUACGCAGCUCCUGCAAUUCUGGCCAUCCAUACGAAAAUUUGCCAAUGAUAGCAUAUUGCAAUCCUUCAAUGAUAUUCAUGCGAGUAACUUCUGCUUCUGUCCAUUUGAUUAAUGGCUGCCCAUGUAGGAAAGUAACAGAUUUUAUGGGGAUAGGGGCAACAGUGAUCAUAUUAGGUUUUACGUGCAUGAUCGUAUUUAAUGCACUAGGUUUGAGAAUAUGCGUG